GCUUGCUCUGUGGGAUCAGUGGCGAACGGGUGAGUAACACGUGAGCAACCUGCCCCUGACUCUGGGAUAAGCGCUGGAAACGGCGUCUAAUACUGGAUACGAGUAGCGACCGCAUGGUCAGUUACUGGAAAGAUUUUUUGGUUGGGGAUGGGCUCGCGGCCUAUCAGCUUGUUGGUGAGGUAAUGGCUCACCAAGGCGUCGACGGGUAGCCGGCCUGAGAGGGUGACCGGCCACACUGGGACUGAGACACGGCCCAGACUCCUACGGGAGGCAGCAGUGGGGAAUAUUGCACAAUGGGCGAAAGCCUGAUGCAGCAACGCCGCGUGAGGGAUGACGGCCUUCGGGUUGUAAACCUCUUUUAGCAGGGAAGAAGCGAAAGUGACGGUACCUGCAGAAAAAGCGCCGGCUAACUACGUGCCAGCAGCCGCGGUAAUACGUAGGGCGCAAGCGUUAUCCGGAAUUAUUGGGCGUAAAGAGCUCGUAGGCGGUUUGUCGCGUCUGCUGUGAAAUCCCGAGGCUCAACCUCGGGCCUGCAGUGGGUACGGGCAGACUAGAGUGCGGUAGGGGAGAUUGGAAUUCCUGGUGUAGCGGUGGAAUGCGCAGAUAUCAGGAGGAACACCGAUGGCGAAGGCAGAUCUCUGGGCCGUAACUGACGCUGAGGAGCGAAAGGGUGGGGAGCAAACAGGCUUAGAUACCCUGGUAGUCCACCCCGUAAACGUUGGGAACUAAUUGUGGGGUCCAUUCCACGGAUU
rnacentral:rRNA from 1 species